rnacentral:rRNA from 1 species
UACGUAGGGACCAAGCGUUGUUCGGAUUUACUGGGCGUAAAGGGCGCGUAGGCGGCAAUUCAAGUCAUCUGUGAAAUCCCCGGGCUUAACCUGGGAACUGCAUUUGUGACUGCAUCGCUGGAGUGCGGCAGAGGGGGAUGGAAUUCCGCGUGUAGCAGUGAAAUGCGUAGAUAUGCGGAGGAACACCGAUGGCGAAGGCAAUCCCCUGGGCCUGCACUGACGCUCAUGCACGAAAGCGUGGGGAGCAAACAGG